rnacentral:misc_RNA from 1 species
GGGGAAUUUUCCGCAAUGGGCGAAAGCCUGACGGAGCAAUACCGCGUGAGGGAGGAAGGCUCUUGGGUCGUAAACCUCUUUUAUCAGGGAAGAAACAAAUGACGGUACCUGAUGAAUCAGCAUCGGCUAACUCCGUGCCAGCAGCCGCGGUAAUACGGAGGAUGCAAGCGUUAUCCGGAAUUAUUGGGCGUAAAGCGUCCGCAGGUGGUUUUGAAAGUUUGCUGUCAAAGCGCGGAGCUUAACUUCGUACCGGCAGUGAAAACUCCAAGACUAGAGUUUGGUAGGGGUCACGGGAAUUCCCAGUGUAGCGGUGAAAUGCGUAGAGAUUGGGAAGAACACCAGCGGCGAAAGCGCGUGACUGGGCCGAACUGACACUCAUGGACGAAAGCUAGGGGAGCGAAAGGGAUUAGAUACCCCUGUAGUCCUAGCCGUAAACGAUGACAACUAGGUGUUGCCCGUAUCGACCCGGGCAGUGCCGUAGCCAACGCGUUAAGUUGUCCGCCUGGGGAGUACGCACGCAAGUGUGAAACUCAAAGGAAUUGACGGGGGCCCGCACAAGCGGUGGAGUAUGUGGUUUAAUUCGAUGCAACGCGAAGAACCUUACCAAGGCUUGACAUGUCGCGAACCUUUGUGAAAGCAGAGGGUGCCUUCGGGAGCGCGAACACAGGUGGUGCAUGGCUGUCGUCAGCUCGUGUCGUGAGAUGUUGGGUUAAGUCCCGCAACGAGCGCAACCCUCGUUUCUAGUUGCCAUCAUUGAGUUGGGCACUUUAGAGAGACUGCCGGUGACAAACCGGAGGAAGGUGGGGAUGACGUCAAGUCAGCAUGCCCCUUACGCCUUGGGCUACACACGUACUACAAUGCUACGGACAAAGAGCCGCAAGUUCGCGAGGACAAGCAAAUCUCAUAAACCGUGGCUCAGUUCAGAUUGCAGGCUGCAACUCGCCUGCAUGAAGGCGGAAUCGCUAGUAAUCGCAGGUCAGCAUACUGCGGUGAAUACGUUCCCGGGCCUUGUACACACCGCCCGUCACACCAUGGAAGUUGGCCACGCCCGAAGUCGUUACUCCAACCGUUCGCGGAGGAGGAUGCCGAAGGCAGGGCUGAUGACUGGGGUGAAGUCGUAACAAGGUAGCCGUACCGGAAGGUGUGGCUGGAUCACCUCCUUAUAGGGAGACCUACCCUCUCAAAAUAGUGAGGAGUCAGAAGUGAAGAGUGAGGAGAAAUCCAAAGCUCCAUUGCAAUUGACUCAUUAGUGCAUUUUGAGAUGGUCAUCCCAAGGUCGUUCGAGGAUGAGUGUUGACUUCCAGACUAUGAGCUUGGUUGGGUAAAUGGGCUAUUAGCUCAGGUGGUUAGAGCGCACCCCUGAUAAGGGUGAGGUCCCUGGUUCGAGUCCAGGAUGGCCCACCACACUUAAUUAGGGGGGUUUAGCUCAGUUGGUAGAGCGCCUGCUUUGCAAGCAGGAUGUCAGCGGUUCGAGUCCGCUAACCUCCACUGUGAAAGAUUCAGCAACUGAUUUAGCUUAUUUAAGUAGAACUAAAGAGCCUGCUGGAUUAAAUCCAGCCAGAACCAUGAAAACUGCAUAGAAACUUGUCAGGUAGAAAGUAGCUGACCGAUUUAAAAGGCGCUUUUGAGUU